UAACCUGCCCAAGAGAUCGGGAUAACACCUGGAAACAUAUGCUAAUACCGGAUAACAACAGAUGAUGCCUAUCAACUGUUUAAAAGAUGGUUCUGCUAUCGCUCUUGGAUGGACCUGCGGUGCAUUAGCUAGUUGGUAGGGUAACGGCCUACCAAGGCGAUGAUGCAUAGCCGAGUUGAGAGACUGAUCGGCCACAUUGGGACUGAGACACGGCCCAAACUCCUACGGGAGGCAGCAGUC
rnacentral:rRNA from 1 species